rnacentral:rRNA from 1 species
UACGGAGGGUGCGAGCGUUGUCCGGAAUCACUGGGCGUAAAGGGCGCGUAGGCGGCGCGAGGAGUCAACGGUGAAAGCUCGGCGCUCAACGCCGAGUCGGCCGUCGAUACUCCCGUGCUCGAGCACUGUAGAGGCAGGUGGAAUUCCGGGUGUAGCGGUGGAAUGCGUAGAGAUCCGGAAGAACACCGGUGGCGAAGGCGGCCUGCUGGGCAGUAGCUGACGCUGAGGCGCGACAGCGGUGGGGAGCAAACAGG